rnacentral:rRNA from 1 species
ACUUAUAGAUGGACCCGCGCCGUAUUAGCUAGUUGGUAAGGUAACGGCUUACCAAGGCGACGAUACGUAGCCGACCUGAGAGGGUGAUCGGCCACACUGGAACUGAGACACGGUCCAGACUCCUACGGGAGGCAGCAGUAGGGAAUCUUCCGCAAUGGGCGAAAGCCUGACGGAGCAACGCCGCGUGAGUGAUGAAGGUCUUCGGAUCGUAAAACUCUGUUGUUAGGGAAGAACAAAUUUGUUAGUAACUGAACAAGUCUUGACGGUACCUAACCAGAAAGCCACGGCUAACUACGUGCCAGCAGCCGCGGUAAUACGUAGGUGGCAAGCGUUAUCCGGAAUUAUUGGGCGUAAAGCGCGCGUAGGCGGUUUCUUAAGUCUGAUGUGAAAGCCCACGGCUCAACCGUGGAGGGUCAUUGGAAACUGGGAAACUUGAGUGCAGAAGAGGAGAGUGGAAUUCCAUGUGUAGCGGUGAAAUGCGCAGAGAUAUGGAGGAACACCAGUGGCGAAGGCGGCUCUCUGGUCUGUAACUGACGCUGAUGUGCGAAA